rnacentral:rRNA from 1 species
UACGUAGGGGGCAAGCGUUGUCCGGAUUUAUUGGGCGUAAAGAGCGUGUAGGCGGCCAGGUAGGUCUGCUGUGAAAACUCGAGGCUUAACCUCGAGCUGUCGGCGGAAACCAUCUGGCUAGAGUCCGGAAGAGGAGAAUGGAAUUCCCGGUGUAGCGGUGAAGUGCGCAGAUAUCGGGAAGAACACCCGUGGCGAAGGCGGUUCUCUGGGACGGUACUGACGCUGAGACGCGAAAGCGUGGGGAGCGAACAGG